AUGUUGUCCCUUCCUCUUCCUCGCCACGCCGAAGGCCCCAACCCCAAGGUCCCGACCACCUCCGCCUGCCUCCUCCGCCCGCGCGGCCGUCUCCUGCUCGGGUCCAGCAGAGCUGCCACGAAGAAUCUGCCGGCUUCCUCCCCGGAUGCUUCGAGCCUGCGCCUCGCCUCCGUGGCCGCCCCCUCCCCGCGCGCCUCUGUCCGACGCCCAGACGGCGGCGGCCUCCUCCUCCUCUCCGUCGCUGCUUCCGCGGUUGCAGUGUCUGCCAGCUUCAUAUUCUUUUCGGCGAUUCCCUCCAUGUUGGAUGGUAAGAGGGCAGCAGAGUCUCUUGAAAAGUCCUUUGAUCUCACAAGAGAGAAGCUUGCUGAAACUAUGGCUUCAGUGAGACUAGUUGCAAAAGAGAUCGGUGCCUUGAGUGUUGAUCUCAGUGACCUAAGUCAAGAAUUGACGAAGGUUGUGAGGAGUUCCUUGAGCAUUGUUCAUACAGCUGACGCUCAACUUCGCCAGCUGGCAACCUCAGCCCAACAAGGAACCGCUCAGGGGGCGGCUAACCGGAAGAAAGCAGUAGCGGAGCCAUUGGUGGCUACUACCGUGAGAGAAGUCCGUGAGUUGAUUGCGGACAUCCGGUCAGGAUUUGGAGCAGCCUUCGGCAUCGCCAGCCUUUUCAGGUGGGCAUCAGAAUUUUGGUCAAAGCGCCCUACGAAUAACUCACAGUGA
rnacentral:rRNA from 1 species